UCUGGCCGCCAGUAGCGGAGCGUAAGCACUUAACCGCUAAGCCACACACUGGCCCUGGAUUAGUUUCAUUUGAGGGCUUGCUCGUCCAGUGCCUCACCUGCAACUCCCUCUAGAUCAAGUGAGUUUACCUUUAGUAUUUCAUUUCCUUCCUGUUGCUCAGGACUUGGGGGGGGGGGUUUAUUUCCCCCUCUCCAAAAUCUUGAUUUGAAAGCACAGGUCAUUUAUUUUUCUUUCAAUUAAAGCUCUUAAGUCUUGAAAUUUCCCUCUGAGGACAACCUGAGAAGCCAGGGACAGGAAUUCACCAGAGUCCCAGCAGCACUGGCCUGCGGAAUGCCCCAAUGCAGGAGAUGUGGGGGGACUCCCUCGCGGCCGGGUGCUAGGCCACAGGCACCAUGCUGAGCAAUAAUUAUGCCUGACACUUAAAAGCAAUUUUAAUUCUCCAUAUUGCUUCAUACCUUUCUCAUUUCUAAAAUCUUCAUUCUGUACUCAGUGGUUCAGAGGGAUUUUUAUUUAGUGCUUUCUCCCUUAAAAUAACUGUUGGGUUCUUUUUAUUCUACUCCACCCCCUCUAUCACCACUCCAUUUCCAAUUUAUUUAUUUCCCAUUUAAUCUUGAUCAUGUAUUUAGUUCCUCCUCUUAUCCUUGUGGCAUCAGGAUGCUUUCUCAAAAUCUUGCAUUGAAUGCUCACUCAAAAAUGUUAACUCUUACUGUUUUAGGCUGUAGAGCCUGUCUAGGUUUGGAUGUCAGGAACUCGGCCAGUUCUGACGGUGCUGAGAGCCCAGUGGAUCCGCAGCACAGCUCUCCCUGCUGUAGCAGCCCUUCAGGCCGACACAGGUUCUGCAGUUACCACAAAGCACCUACUGGGUGCUAUGCAGUGAAUGCGAUGGGCCACAAGCCUGGAAGCCAGUGGGUAAGCUGUCUCCCUCACGGUGCUCAGAGUUUCCUAGUGAACCCUGACUGACUGACCAGAGCAGCACUGCCCAGUGGAACUUUCUCUGUCGGAGGAAAUGUUCUAGAUCUGCACUGUCCAACAUAGUAGCCAUUAGCUGCAGGUGACCAGUGAACAUUUGAAAGAUGGCCAGUGUGACUGGGGAGUUGAACUGAUAAGGUGAUCAUCAAGAUAAUCCAGACUCUUGUAGCACAUGGGGAAGGGAGAAGAGUCUGAGCUCUGAGCGAGGGUGGAUCACAGACAGCCUCCAGAUGAUUGUCUCCAAGAGGAAUGCAGGAAGUCCACAAAAGGCUGGAGAAACCAUUAAGGCAGGUUUGGAAUAAUCUAGUUCAUACGUUUGCAUCCUGUAUUCUAUAGGGUAUGCUUGGUUGUAAAUACCUGAAAAUCCAACUAAUGUAAAUAACAAGCACUGUUUCCUCACAGAACUGAAGGUCUGUAAGUAUGUGGUUCCUGGUACUGGUUUAAGCUGCCCACCAGUGUCACCCUCGGUGUGGGAGUGUCUCACCCUUCGGCCACCAAGACGUAGACAAGGGACAAGCCAGCCCCACACUUACUGCUGGUCUCAAAUACAACCCAUUUCAACGCUUCUCUCUGCCUUAGGAAGUCGACCUUUUCCUCUCUGAUAAAAAUCGUCACCCAGGGGCCGGCCCUGUGGCUUAGCAGUUAAGUGUGCGCGCUCUGCUGCUGGCGGCCCGGGUUCGGAUCCCGGGUGCGCACCGACACACCGCUUCUCCAGCCAUGCUGAGGCCGCGUCCCACAUACAGCAACUAGAAGGAUGUGCAGCUAUGACAUACAACUAUCUACUGGGGCUUUAGGGGAAAAAACAGAGGAGGAUUGGGAAUAGAUGUUAGCUCAGAGCCGGUCUUCCUGAGCAAAAAG